GCUUAGCGCAGCUGGUUCAGAGCAUCUGCCUUACAAGCAGAGGGUCGGGGGUUCGAAUCCCU
rnacentral:tRNA from 1 species